GGUUAUGACGAGCCAGACAAUAUUUUCUUAACUAAAUAUGAGGUUAAAACCAUAAUUUCCGAUGAAAAUUAAAAUGGCACCCUGUUCAAUGAGUCAGGAUUAUUCGCCAAAACAUCUCCUGCUUGCGCGGCUAACCACAACGAGCUGCUGCCUCGCUAGCUAGAGGAUAGCUAACUAACUAGCUCAAAUAAAAGCUUCAUGGCACUUAGACAAUAGAAUAAUAAGCUAUUCUUACCAUUUCUGAACCGUUUAUUUGCCCCAGCAAUAGAGAAAUACAGGUUCAGGAAUCUAGCUAUCGGCGCCUCCUUUACUCGGUUCUUGACUGAGAUGGAUUUCCUUCGUUUCGCAGUUGUCUCAAGAUGAUGUAGCAGCGCUAAGAUCUCCUAGUGAAAUGAAAUGAUGAUGAUGACACGAAAGAGGCUCCAACUGUGCUGUUCCACUACAGAGGUCUUCAUUGUGUUCCUGCAGACAGGAUUUACAGAAGCUGUGGCUACACAAUAAAGUAGGAUUGGAUUCUUGAAGAUGUCAUGCCACAAUGGACAGGAGAUAUGCGCAACAAUUU